AUUAGAUACCCUAUUAUUUUUAUUGUAAAAUUUUAAACCUGAGUAUUAAUAGUUAAGGUCUUGAAACUUAAAGAAUUUGGCGGUAUUAUAGUCUAUUUAGAGGAAUCUGUUAUGUAAUCGAUAGUCCACGUUGAACCUUACUUAUAUUAUUUCUUGUAUACCGCUGUUUGAGAAUAUACUUUUAGGUAAUUUUCUUAAUAUAAAAUUAAUUAAAAUUUCAGGUCAAGGUGCAGUGAUAUGUAAGUUGAAUAAUGGAUUACAAUAAAUUUUAUUUAUUAUGAAUUGUUAUUGAAAUAUAAUUUGAAGGUGGAUUUAAUUGUAAUUUUAUAAAGAUUAUUGAAAUGAUUUAUAGCUCUAUAAUAUGUACACAUCGCCCG
rnacentral:rRNA from 1 species